rnacentral:lncRNA from 1 species
GGGCAACCUGCUGCUGACAAGUCUUCGUAUGUACAGUGAAAACAGUAAAACAAUGCAAGUUUGUAGUCAGUACGGCUUCUCUACUGAUUCCAAGAUUUUCUUUCUCUCCUCUGCUGAGGGCAUCUCCGGUUUCACACCAUUUCUUUUCCUUUGCAUCAUAAUGUCAUGCUCCGUCCCCGGCCGCGUCCGCGGGAGCCCGAGGCGGGAGGGGGACAGCCCCGUCUCCAAUUCGAAAGACGUCAGCGGCUCGGGCAGAGCGCUUAAGUACGGGCGCAGCCUACCCCGCUCCCGGCCUCGCGGCUCCCCCGGCCCAGCGCCGCCGCCGCCCACGCCCCGGCGGCGCU